rnacentral:rRNA from 1 species
GAUGAACGCUGGCGGCGUGCCUAAUACAUGCAAGUCGAGCGAACGGACGAGAAGUUUGCUUCUCUGAUGUUAGCGGCGGACGGGUGAGUAACACGUGGAUAACCUACCUAUAAGACUGGGAUAACUUCGGGAAACCGGAGCUAAUACCGGAUAAUAUUUUGAACCGCAUGGUUCAAAAGUGAAGGAGGGUUUGGCUGUCACUUAUAGAUGGAUCCGCGCUGCAUUAGCUGGUUGGUAAGGUAACGGCUUACCAAGGCAACGAUGCAUAGCCAACCUGAGAGGGUGAUCGGCCACACUGGAACUGAGACACGGUCCAGACUCCUACGGGAGGCAGCAGUAGGGAAUCUUCCGCAAUGGGCGAAAGCCUGACGGAGCAACGCCGCGUGAGUGAUGAAGGUCUUCGGAUCGUAAAACUCUGUUAUUAGGGAAGAACAUAUGUGUAAGUAACUGUGCACAUCUUGACGGUACCUAAUCAGAAAGCCACGGCUAACUACGUG